UGUGGCGUAAUUCUGUCAAAGAAACAAUCCUGUCAUCAUUACAGAGCGCUUAUCUUUAGGCAAAAUAUGUCUGAUUUUGCCAACAUAGUCCAACAAUUUGUAAAAAGUUUUGAAAAGUUACUGUAAAUUUUUACAAGAAAUACUGUGUAUGUGCAAACAUUACUUAGGAAGAGUUUUGAGGUUUUGACAUUUUGAUGAUCGUUUAUAAGACUUGUAUCAGUAAAAAUAAUAUAGAUUUGACUAUAUAAUUAUUCUGUACAAAACAGACAGGACUGAGGACCACCGCUGGCAUUGCCGAGACCGACGCUGAGAAGGAAAAAGAGAGUCAGCAGUUCUGGUUUGUACAACUAGAUGGCGUUGCUCGGCUUUGAAAAUUUUACGAGCUACGAAGCACGAAAGCAUGAGCUCAUCAGGAACCAGCCGAACAACCGGCGCCUUUCACCCGUGAAACACGUACUUGACUUUCUUUUGCUUGGCAACAGUGUGCAUGCUACAAUAAGGUUCACAGGUAAAGAAGAUACAAUGUAAAGUAUCUUUCUCUCUUUAGUCAAAGCUGUUGACAGAGGCAAAUUCCAUUUUUCCUCCUGGACACAACAGGUGAGUCCUUCUAGCUUAUGCCUGCUCAUUUAUCACCUUUGUAUAACUAGAAGGAUUUGUGUUGACUGUACCUGUUAACCUUAAAUGACUGAGUUUCCAGCCUUCGUAAAGGGAAUUAAAGUUAUUUGUAACUUCACUUAAAUUGUGAAUAUAUAUAUAUAUAUAUAGGACAAGCUAUCUCAUAUGUACAGUUGCUACUUUUUUCUAGCUAGCAUUUCAAUUUCUUCAAUAUUUUGUAUAUAAUGUGGUGGGUAACUCAUUUCCAUCACAAGGAAGGAAAAGCAAGCAGAACCUAUGGUGUGAAGGCAUGAGCUACGGUCUCUCCUCCAUAAGGCAGAGUAGUUAAAACCUAAUUAUGAGAAAUUCUUUUGGGAUUUGCAGGAUGAGCAGAAGUUUUCAGUCAAAAAAGCAGAGCCUUUCAUGGAGAAGGAUAAACCACGGGACAAGGGAAUUGGCAUUGUUGGCUAGAGAGUGGUUGAAGUGAUAGACUCCAUGCAAACUAAGCCACAAAGUGAGUUAAGUGAUGAAAGAGUGGAUGAUGGAGGAAGUGGAAGGGUGGGUGGGUUGGAGUCUCAAUGAGGUUGAAGAGCUGCCUCUGUGGGAACCAAUGAGAAUGUGAGCUGGGGAUGGGUGUCUCAGAGUGAGAUUUCUGAAACUGUCCCUUCAGAGGUGGAUAAGUAUCUAGUGAUGACAAGUUAGUGUGUGGUUUCAGGAGUGGAUGGCAGAGUCUUAAAUACUAGAAAUAAUUGUGUGGCAGAAGUGAAUGGGGGCCAUGGGUACCAGAGGUGGGCAUAGCUAUGUCUCGCCACGUUAGUCUGCAGUUGUGAAGUCUGAGUACAGACAAAUGACAUCUCAGAACCAGAAGAAAAGCUGUUUUCAGGUUGAGAACAAGUGGACCCAGAGCAAGGCAUGUGGGUUUUGGGGUCACAAUGUGCUACAGGUUGAAGCAAAAUGCCCUUAAUAAAUGUUUCCCGAAAUCAGGAUGUUGGCA
rnacentral:lncRNA from 1 species